CAGAAAAUCCCUGGUUACCUGUAGGCUCGGUCUGAGCAACAUAACCAUUUUUGGGUGGUCAACCAUGUAAAGAAUAGCACACGUCACGAGUGUGACCAAGUUUAUGACAAUAAGAACACUUGGGUCUAGAUCUUCCAAAACGAUCUCAUGAGAUGCCCGAUUGUCCACUGAUUGGAAUACCAUGAUAGAUGAAUCAAGUGUCUGUGAUGAGCUCACUGGGUGACUUGGUGCUGCAGCAAGGCGAAGUAAUUGAGAGAAUAAUUCAUCAACUGUGGGGACAGCCGGACU
rnacentral:lncRNA from 1 species